ACUCUUGUACACCCCCUCAGACCUCCUUAAUGCCUUGCCAGCUGGAAGGAAAAGAGCCUCUUGCAUUGCCCACAAAGGAAGCAGAGAUUGAGGGGAGAAGAACUGGAGAAAUUAAAAAAGUGGAAAGAGACAGCAACACAAAUAAAGAGGUUGAGUACCAGUAGAAACCUCAUAUUUACCUGGAAGAUUACUUUUAGGAAGCUUGAAGAAUUCUCUCUUCCAACUUGGUUAAUCUGAGUUCUGUGGCACCUACAAGAGAAAUGGCUGCUUAUAUGUGACAACCUGCAGAUCUGAGCAGCAGGGGAACAAAGGCAGGGCCAACACAAUGGCACUGGUCCCGUUGAGUCCUGGGGAGUCCUCAGCUUUCAGGAGUCCCCUGAAUAUGGGGCAACCCCACAGGGAUUUCCUGUAAGAUUUUAAAUGAAGAAAGUCUUCUACUGCUGUAUAAAGAAAAAAAAAAGAAGAAGAAAAGGGAUGGAUCUCACUAUGUUGCCAAGGCUGGCUCGAGAACUCCUGGGCUCAACCAAUCCUCCUGCCUCAGCCUCCCAAAUAGCUGGGACUACAGGAGAUUAGGACUCUCAGAAGAGACACCAGAGGCGUGGCCACACAGAGAAAAAGAUCAUGUGGGGACACAGUGAAAAGGCAGCCAUCAUAAGCCACAGAGAGAGGACUCAGAAGAAACCAACUCUGCUGACACCUUCAUCUUGAACUUCUAGCCUCUAGAACUGUGAAAAAACAAAUUU
rnacentral:lncRNA from 1 species